rnacentral:rRNA from 1 species
CAGGCCUAACACAUGCAAGUCGAACGCCCCGCAAGGGGAGUGGCAGACGGGUGAGUAACACGUGGGAACGUACCCUUUGGUUCGGAACAACCCUGGGAAACUAGGGCUAAUACCGGAUACGCGCGAGAGCGGAAAGGUUUACCGCCGAAGGAUCGGCCCGCGUCUGAUUAGCUAGUUGGUGAGGUAACGGCUCACCAAGGCGACGAUCAGUAGCUGGUCUGAGAGGAUGAUCAGCCACAUUGGGACUGAGACACGGCCCAAACUCCUACGGGAGGCAGCAGUGGGGAAUAUUGGACAAUGGGCGCAAGCCUGAUCCAGCCAUGCCGCGUGAGUGAUGACGGCCCUAGGGUUGUAAAGCUCUUUUACCUGGGAAGAUAAAAACGGUACCAGGAGAAUAAGCCCCGGCUAAAUUCGUGCCAGCAGCCGCGGUAA